CUUGUCCUCAAAGUUAACCUGUCUGCGUCCCUCCGCUGAGAGAGAAAACAAGAUUUAAAGGCGGCUUUUAAGUGGAAAUGGAGAACGUGGCGCACUUCACGCCGUUUGUUUACUCGUCUGGGGAGCCUUAAAAACACUUAGGAUGUGUAACAUUCAUGCCUUUGUAGCCUUUUAAGAGGAAACAAUGCAGAAAUGACGGAUUACAAAUGAGAAUCAUCAGAAAAGAGUUUUGGCUCCCUCUGCUGGCGCUUGGGUGCGACUGAUUUUAUAGGCUUCAGCAACCAUGAGCAUUGUAAGGAAGAUGGUUCAAAACGACUUAUAAAAGCACUAACCGGUGAUGAGGGCAGCUGCAGCAAUCAUGCUAACGGGCUGGACCGGGUGCUGCAGUUCACGGACAGCCAGCCAAGCCA